rnacentral:rRNA from 1 species
CAGGCUGUCUCCACCCGAGACUCAGUGAAAUUGAACUCGCUGUGAAGAUGCAGUGUACCCGCGGCAAGACGGAAAGACCCCGUGAACCUUUACUAUAGCUUGACACUGAACAUUGAGCCUUGAUGUGUAGGAUAGGUGGGAGGCUUUGAAGUGUGGACGCCAGUCUGCAUGGAGCCGGCCUUGAAAUACCACCCUUUAAUGUUUGAUGUUCUAACGUGGACCCGUGAUCCGGGUUGCGGACAGUGUCUGGUGGGUAGUUUGACUGGGGCGGUCUCCUCCUAAAGAGUAACGGAGGAGCACGAAGGUUGGCUAAUCCUGGUCGGACAUCAGGAGGUUAGUGCAAUGGCAUAAGCCAGCUUGACUGCGAGCGUGACGGCGCGAGCAGGUGCGAAAGCAGGUCAUAGUGAUCCGGUGGUUCUGAAUGGAAGGGCCAUCGCUCAACGGAUAAAAGGUACUCCGGGGAUAACAGGCUGAUACCGCCCAAGAGUUCAUAUCGACGGCGGUGUUUGGCACCUCGAUGUCGGCUCAUCACAUCCUGGGGCUGAAGUAGGUCCCAAGGGUAUGGCUGUUCGCCAUUUAAAGUGGUACGCGAGCUGGGUUUAGAACGUCGUGAGACAGUUCGGUCCCUAUCUGCCGUGGGCGCUGGAGAACUGAGGGGGGCUGCUCCUAGUACGAGAGGACCGGAGUGGACGCAUCACUGGUGUUCGGGUUGUCAUGCCAAUGGCACUGCCCGGUAGCUAAAUGCGGAAGAGAUAAGUGCUGAAAGCAUCUAAGCACGAAACUUGCCCCGAGAUGAGUUCUCCCUGACCCUUUAAGGGUCCUGAAGGAACGUUGAAGACGACGACGUUGAUAGGCCGGGUGUGUAAGCGCAGCGAUGCGUUGAGCUAACCGGUACUAAUGAACCGUGAGGCUUAACCUUACAACGCCGAAG